GGAUGUGAGGGUGAUCUGGCUAUGACAUCGGUCACCCCAUUGAUUGGCAGGGUUGAUUCAACUGAUCUGGCUGGCUAGGCAGGUGUCCCCAGCCUCCCUCACUGCUCCAUGGGAAUCCCUCCCAAAGCUGUGAGCUUAGUUUAAGAAGAUGACCUUCUCUGAUAGAGGAGGAUCAUUCUUUAGUCAAGAGUAUACAACUAGGGCUGGGGUUGUAGCUCAGUGGUAGAGCGCUUGCCUAGUAUGUGUGAGACACUGGGUUCAAUUCUCAGCACCACAUAUAAAUAAAAAAUAAAGGUACAUU
ensembl:misc_RNA 7SK 7SK RNA